rnacentral:rRNA from 1 species
UACAGAGGUCCCAAGCGUUGUUCGGAAUCACUGGGCGUAAAGGGUGCGUAGGCGGGUCUUUAAGUCAGGGGUGAAAUCCUGGAGCUCAACUCCAGAACUGCCUUUGAUACUGAGGAUCUUGAGUUCGGGAGAGGUGAGUGGAACUGCGAGUGUAGAGGUGAAAUUCGUAGAUAUUCGCAAGAACACCAGUGGCGAAGGCGGCUCACUGGCCCGAUACUGACGCUGAGGCACGAAAGCGUGGGGAGCAAACAGG